rnacentral:rRNA from 1 species
GAUGAACGCUGGCGGCGUGCCUAAUACAUGCAAGUCGAGCGAACAGACGAGGAGCUUGCUCCUCUGACGUUAGCGGCGGACGGGUGAGUAACACGUGGAUAACCUACCUAUAAGACUUGGAUAACUUCGGGAAACCGUAGCUAAUACCGGAUAACAUGUUUAACUGCAUGGUUUAACAGUGAAAGACGGUCUUGCUGUCACUUAUCGAUGGAUCCGCGCCGCAUUAGCUAGUUGGUAAGGUAACGGCUUACCAAGGCAACGAUGCGUAGCCGACCUGAGAGGGUGAACGGCCACACUGGAACUGAGACACGGUCCAGACUCCUACGGGAGGCAGAAGUAGGGAAUCUUCCGCAAUGGGCGAAAGCCUGACGGAGCAACGCCGCGUGAGUGAAGAAGGUCUUCGGAUCGUAAAACUCUGUUAUUAGGGAAGAACGAAUGUGUAAGUAACUAUGCACGUCUUGACGGUACCGAAUCAGAAAGCCACGGCUAACUACGUG